UGGUGGUGGGUGGACUGUUGGUCUGGAUAAUCUUGGAGGUCUUUUCCACCAUUGGUGAUUCUAAUGAUUCCCAUUAAUUAUAAUGGGUGGUGUUCUCAAAUCCACAAAAAUUUAUAUUUCUCCCUGGUAAAGCACCAAUGCAAUUAAAGCAGCAAAAGCAAGAAUAUUCCCUGAGAGCCACAGACUUACUUGUGUAGAUCAUGUCUCUGGUGUAUGGUAGCAGAGCCUGGUAAGGAUGACUAACAGAAUUUCAGGCCAAAAUGGGAAUCCAUUUCUGGCUGUCAGAACUCCAGGAACAGUGCACAUUUGAGCCAUCCAUGGGUGCUCCAUCUACCUUCAGCUCUGGAAACAACCUCUGAAAUAGAGGUGUGUAAAGGUAACUUAAAACUAAAGGACCUUUCCAGGGAGAGAAGCGUUAAUCUUUAGCCAUGAUCUGCAUGAAGUAAGCAGCUGAACCCUUGGAAUGGCACUUUUACCAGAAAUCUGCUUCACCUCAACAUCAGCUCUUUUCUAGAUGUAGUUCAGUGUGCUAUAUUCAGAGCUCAGAAAGCAAUCCAUGCUGAGCUGGGUUUACUUCGGGCAUUUUAUCCAGCAGCGGUGACCUCUAGAGAGCCUUUCACACUGCUCAUUGUGCUGUAACUCAGCAGUGACAGAACAAUGUGGGAGAGGUGAGGCCUUGCCCAGAGCCCACAGCUGUAUCUAACUUGGCUGCCCCCAUACCCUGGCAUAGGCCAUGGGUCAGGGCUUCUCCUGUCCCACUCUGGGCUUCUUCCUGGAUCUGUGUGGACAGGAAUGUGGGACAUCACAUAGGCAAUGCCAUACACAGCAGGUAAAACUUCAGUGCUGCUGCUACGUGUAUGGAAGGAGUCUGCACAGCUGGACUGCUGUGGGGGACGUGUGAAGUCGCCAUCCCUGGAGGUGAUCAAGAAAUGUGGGAUAUGGCACUGAGGGACGUGAUCGAGCAGGCAGCCAGGCAGGAUCACCAGCAGUGUACCUGUUCAGCAAGCAGGGCAGCUCCAGAGGAUGUAGAAGUGAAAAAACAAGCUGUGACAGACAGCUGGGGCAAAUGAAUGAGAAGGGAAAUGGCAAAGGAGCAAACCAGUGUGACACAUCAGCACAGAUCACCUCACCACAGAUGGAUUUGCCUGGGAAGACUCAGCCAUGAAAAGUAUUUCAGAGCCCCUGAUUGGACCUCAGGUCCUGCAUGACAGUGUUCAGCACUAUACUCUCAGGCUGCCUUUCAGGGAAGGUGCCUCAUCCAGGAAAGAGUUUGCAGAGAAUAUUCAUGGUGGGUUCCUCACUACAGUGUAUGUUAAACUCUUACUUAGGUCAAAGCUGCUGGGAACAUUAAGGUCUAUCUGUGGUCUUUCCAUAGAGACAGUAGUGGUCAUCUGCAGAAAUUGCCUCACACCUGGAGGAGCAGAAGUAUGUUUUUUAACUUAACAAAGGUUACUGAAGUGUUGGCUAGAUUGAGGAGCAGACUGCCUAACCUCAUGUCAAUUUUAUUAGCAUUAAAAGAGCUUAAAUUUAUAACUGAAAAUAUAAUUUAUGAGUUCUGACUUCUAUUUUUUUUCCAAGUGCAUAACCUCUAUAUAUCUUCACUGCAUUUCUAAGCUUACUGGGCUGUCAGCAUAUGUGUAUCCUGAGAGUUGAGAGAUAAAUAAUUAUGUGUGAUCUUUCAUGUUUACUGUUUGAGUAAGAUCCAAACUGUCCCUGUGCACAAGGAGACAAAGGCAGAAAAAGCUGUGUCUACAUGAUCUGGUAAUGCAGUCCAGUAGGGAUAGAUUUGUAGAGCACUGGAGCUCUAAGGUCCAAAGCCAGACUAUCCAUGCAUCCACAUUCCAUGAUAUUCAUGAAUUAAGAUACUUCCCUUUAGAAGAGUCCAGUCCAGACCUGUCAGUGGCCAGUAGAGAUUGGAACAAUGCGGUAUGGAUGUCUCACAUCUCCCAGUUCAGUUUAAUUGGAAGAAAAUCUGGUUUGUGCACUCGGUAGUCAUGAUGUGUUGCAAACCAACGUGUGUGAGAAGUGAAAUGGAGAUUUGCUUUAAAAGCUCUCUCCUCAUUUGAACAAAGAUUUGAACCAACGAAGAAAAAAACCCACAUCAAUUAA